UUAUCAAUUACUGUAAACCCUCUCUCUCGUCUUCCUCCCAAAUCCCACGGCGCUCCAACCCACCAAAAUCCUAACUCUCUCUCUCUCGUCUCUAUCGUCUCUCUCCUCCGGAGGACGUCGCCGGUCCUCGCCUUCUCCGUCGCGGCGAGGCCGACCCCUCUCUUCCCCCUCUUUCUUUCUUCCCUUCCCUACAUCUAAAUCCCUAAAUUAAAAAAAAAAAUAGAUCUAGGGAUUCCUAGCUUCCAUUUAUGUUCUCCAGUUAGUUCCGCCACUGCCGCCAGUCUCCGUCGCACCACCGCCACCUCCGUCUCAAUUGGCAGCCACCGCGGACCGCCGUGGCGCGCGCAGCGCUGGUGGUUGCCGUCGCCAGCCGCGCCCCGCCGCAUUGGCUCGCGGCUGUUGCUGUUGUCCUCUUCUUCUUUUUUUCUUCUUCUUCUUCUUCUUCUUCUUUUCUUUUGCUGUUUUUCUUUUCUGGUGCAAAUAAGGUACAAAAUUGGAAGGAUUGUGAGGGAAAUAUAGCUCUGCAUAUUGCAAUCGCUGAUAAGCAUCUUCAGGUGAGUUCAAUUUCUUUAUCAGAUUUAGUUUAUUGUCACAGUCAUCAUUAACAACUUAGCCCUAGUUUUUUUUUCAUUCUUUAUCUUUCAUUUUGGCUGGUGUUUCAUAAGGAUAAAUGGUGGUGUUCUAUUUCUGUGUUUGAGUCUUGAAUCAGGGAUUUCAUUAAUUGGUGGUAAUAUUGAAAAACGUGAGUGUUGGGAUCAUGAUUGUCAAAUGCUGCCUCAAUGUCUCAAACUGCAGUAAGUAACGACACCCCAAUUAUACAUGAAACUAAUUAUAUGUGUUUUGUACAUGUAGCAAAAGUUUAAAUGUUCCAGUAAGAUCUGUUUUCCUUUAAUUGAUUUCUCCUGAUGUUCAACUGAAUUACUAAUUAGGAACAAAAUGAAUGCAGAAAUCUGAAACUGGAGUAUGUGGAUAUAGAUAAUGGAAUCCAUUGUCGAUGGAAUCAGAAAAUGGAUUCUUUUGUUCUCAUAUUAGUUUGCUAAUGAUCAUGUUAUUAAACUAGUUAGCUGCAUUUUGUUAGUUGAUAUAGAUAACUUCAUCAUCUUAAACUGUGAAAGCUAACACUUCACAUAUAUGAUGGCCUAUUAUCUUGUAAUCUCCAAAUCCAUCCGGCCUCAUCAGAUGCCAAAUCACAUCUCCUCAAUCAAACUAAGAAUGUUCAUUGUCCUAAUCUAAGGUCAGUAACGAAGCUCUAAAAUCGACUCCAUAAAUUUAUUCUCACGACCAAUUCUCGUGACUGUUUGAUUGUUGGCUUUUUGCGCUCGCCCAAUGUUGGAUGUGUAAUAUGUGAUUGUUGUCUACUCCAACCGCCGUCACUGUCUUGAUGGAGAACUGCCGCCUUGCUAGAGAAUUGCCGCAGCUCCCUUGCUAGAGAGUCACCUCCGCGAACCGCUGCCGCUGCCUUGCUUGACAAUCGCCGCCGCUGCUUGCUCGAGCACAUUUCUAGAAAGGAAUUUCUCAGGAAUCCAGACAAGUAUAUAAAGCUUGGUGCACGACCUCCUAGAGGUGUUCUCUUGAUAUAUGUUGUAGCCAAGAGCCGUGAUGGUAGAUUCCGUAUUGUGAGUAAUGACGAGCGUGAACAGACCUUAAAUCAGCUUUUCACUGUUUGUGGUGGUGGAUUAAAUGAGCCGUACGUUGAGCUGAAAAGACUUGUGAAUUCACAAGAAAAGUUAUACCAUAUGGCUAGAUAGUUGCAUAUUUAAUAUAUUUAGUAUUUUUGUAAGGCAUAAUAGUAUUAGAUAGAGCAUUUGUUGAAUUUUGACUAUAUUCAAAUGAUGUAUGAAUUCUUUUUUUAUGAUAAUAAUAUAUGGAUUUUCAAUA